GUGGUCUAAUACUUCAUAAUAUCCAUCUCGUAUGGAUUAAAGCUUUAUGCGCUUUGGAGGGGCCUGCGUAACAUUAGCUUGUUGGUGAGGUUAAAAGCUUCACCAAGGCUUCGAUGUUUAACUGGUUUGAGAGGAUGACCAGUCACACUGGGACUGAGAUACGGCCCAGACUCCUACGGGAGGCAGCAGUAAGGAAUCUUCCACAAUGGGGCAACCCUGAUGGAGCAAUACCGCGUGCAGGAUGAAGCGUUUCGGCGUGUAAACUGCUUUUAUCACCGAAGAUUAUGACUGUAGGUGAAGAAUAAGGACCGGCUAACUACGUG
rnacentral:rRNA from 1 species